rnacentral:rRNA from 1 species
GUCGAGCGAAUCGAUGGGAGCUUGCUCCCUGAGAUUAGCGGCGGACGGGUGAGUAACACGUGGGCAACCUGCCUAUAAGACUGGGAUAACUUCGGGAAACCGGAGCUAAUACCGGAUACGUUCUUUUCUCGCAUGAGAGAAGAUGGAAAGACGGUUUACGCUGUCACUUAUAGAUGGGCCCGCGGCGCAUUAGCUAGUUGGUGAGGUAAUGGCUCACCAAGGCGACGAUGCGUAGCCGACCUGAGAGGGUGAUCGGCCACACUGGGACUGAGACACGGCCCAGACUCCUACGG